ensembl:lincRNA
GCUCCUGCCUGUGAUUGGCAAGUCUGAAAUCGUUUCGGUGGGGAAACGUAUCGCAUCAAGAACAGGAAGAUUCUUGUUUGGUGCCAGAGCAGCUUGAAAUCUGGUCCAGAAUAUUUUAUCAAAAAGAAAAAAAAAAAAAAAAGCUCUGACUUGGGAUUCUCUCUUCUGAGCAAGACAAUUGCAAUCUGCUUCAAGCUUUAGAGCUAAUGGUACCACCCACUGAGUCUCCUUUUGGACCUAUGAAUAGGGACAAUUCUCACAGUUUUAAAGUGGCCCCAUCAUGUCAAGCUACUAGAGGCAGCUGGGCCACACCCUCCUGGGAGGGACUUCUGAAUUCCCAAUGGCUGUUUUCAUCUGACUUUUGGAAAGUUUCCUGCAUCCAGGUUCCAGCCUUGAGUUCCUGCCUGACUUUCUGGAUUAUAAGAUGAAAUGGAGGAACAAGAUGAACCAGAGAUCUGGCAAGAGGCAUCUAAUAGUACCAUCGAGGACAGUGGCUCCCUACAGACCCUUAGCCCACCUCUGAUACAUUCACGCUCAUGGUGUUUUCCACAGAUGUCUCACAUUUCACAAACCUGUCAAUUCCAGUACAUAUCAUCUUGAACUAUG